GGGUUGUGAGGUUAAGCGACUAAGCGUACACGGUGGAUGCCCUGGCAGUCAGAGGCGAUGAAGGACGUGCUAAUCUGCGAUAAGCGUCGGUAAGGUGAUAUGAACCGUUAUAACCGGCGAUUUCCGAAUGGGGAAACCCAGUGUGAUUCGUCACACUAUCAUUAACUGAAUCCAUAGGUUAAUGAGGCGAACCGGGGGAACUGAAACAUCUAAGUACCCCGAGGAAAAGAAAUCAACCGAGAUUCCCCCAGUAGCGGCGAGCGAACGGGGAGCAGCCCAGAGCCUGAAUCAGUGUGUGUGUUAGUGGAAGCGUCUGGAAAGGCGCGCGAUACAGGGUGACAGCCCCGUACACAAAAAUGCACAUACUGUGAGCUCGAUGAGUAGGGCGGGACACGUGGUAUCCUGUCUGAAUAUGGGGGGACCAUCCUCCAAGGCUAAAUACUCCUGACUGACCGAUAGUGAACCAGUACCGUGAGGGAAAGGCGAAAAGAACCCCGGCGAGGGGAGUGAAAAAGAACCUGAAACCGUGUACGUACAAGCAGUGGGAGCACGCUUAGGCGUGUGACUGCGUACCUUUUGUAUAAUGGGUCAGCGACUUAUAUUCUGUAGCAAGGUUAACCGAAUAGGGGAGCCGAAGGGAAACCGAGUCUUAACUGGGCGUUAAGUUGCAGGGUAUAGACCCGAAACCCGGUGAUCUAGCCAUGGGCAGGUUGAAGGUUGGGUAACACUAACUGGAGGACCGAACCGACUAAUGUUGAAAAAUUAGCGGAUGACUUGUGGCUGGGGGUGAAAGGCCAAUCAAACCGGGAGAUAGCUGGUUCUCCCCGAAAGCUAUUUAGGUAGCGCCUCGUGAAUUCAUCUCCGGGGGUAGAGCACUGUUUCGGCAAGGGGGUCAUCCCGACUUACCAACCCGAUGCAAACUGCGAAUACCGGAGAAUGUUAUCACGGGAGACACACGGCGGGUGCUAACGUCCGUCGUGAAGAGGGAAACAACCCAGACCGCCAGCUAAGGUCCCAAAGUCAUGGUUAAGUGGGAAACGAUGUGGGAAGGCCCAGACAGCCAGGAUGUUGGCUUAGAAGCAGCCAUCAUUUAAAGAAAGCGUAAUAGCUCACUGGUCGAGUCGGCCUGCGCGGAAGAUGUAACGGGGCUAAACCAUGCACCGAAGCUGCGGCAGCGACGCUUAUGCGUUGUUGGGUAGGGGAGCGUUCUGUAAGCCUGUGAAGGUGUACUGUGAGGUAUGCUGGAGGUAUCAGAAGUGCGAAUGCUGACAUAAGUAACGAUAAAGCGGGUGAAAAGCCCGCUCGCCGGAAGACCAAGGGUUCCUGUCCAACGUUAAUCGGGGCAGGGUGAGUCGACCCCUAAGGCGAGGCCGAAAGGCGUAGUCGAUGGGAAACAGGUUAAUAUUCCUGUACUUGGUGUUACUGCGAAGGGGGGACGGAGAAGGCUAUGUUGGCCGGGCGACGGUUGUCCCGGUUUAAGCGUGUAGGCUGGUUUUCCAGGCAAAUCCGGAAAAUCAAGGCUGAGGCGUGAUGACGAGGCACUACGGUGCUGAAGCAACAAAUGCCCUGCUUCCAGGAAAAGCCUCUAAGCAUCAGGUAACAUCAAAUCGUACCCCAAACCGACACAGGUGGUCAGGUAGAGAAUACCAAGGCGCUUGAGAGAACUCGGGUGAAGGAACUAGGCAAAAUGGUGCCGUAACUUCGGGAGAAGGCACGCUGAUAUGUAGGUGAAGUCCCUCGCGGAUGGAGCUGAAAUCAGUCGAAGAUACCAGCUGGCUGCAACUGUUUAUUAAAAACACAGCACUGUGCAAACACGAAAGUGGACGUAUACGGUGUGACGCCUGCCCGGUGCCGGAAGGUUAAUUGAUGGGGUCAGCGCAAGCGAAGCUCUUGAUCGAAGCCCCGGUAAACGGCGGCCGUAACUAUAACGGUCCUAAGGUAGCGAAAUUCCUUGUCGGGUAAGUUCCGACCUGCACGAAUGGCGUAAUGAUGGCCAGGCUGUCUCCACCCGAGACUCAGUGAAAUUGAACUCGCUGUGAAGAUGCAGUGUACCCGCGGCAAGACGGAAAGACCCCGUGAACCUUUACUAUAGCUUGACACUGAACAUUGAGCCUUGAUGUGUAGGAUAGGUGGGAGGCUUUGAAGUGUGGACGCCAGUCUGCAUGGAGCCGACCUUGAAAUACCACCCUUUAAUGUUUGAUGUUCUAACGUGGACCCGUAAUCCGGGUUGCGGACAGUGUCUGGUGGGUAGUUUGACUGGGGCGGUCUCCUCCUAAAGAGUAACGGAGGAGCACGAAGGUUGGCUAAUCCUGGUCGGACAUCAGGAGGUUAGUGCAAUGGCAUAAGCCAGCUUGACUGCGAGCGUGACGGCGCGAGCAGGUGCGAAAGCAGGUCAUAGUGAUCCGGUGGUUCUGAAUGGAAGGGCCAUCGCUCAACGGAUAAAAGGUACUCCGGGGAUAACAGGCUGAUACCGCCCAAGAGUUCAUAUCGACGGCGGUGUUUGGCACCUCGAUGUCGGCUCAUCACAUCCUGGGGCUGAAGUAGGUCCCAAGGGUAUGGCUGUUCGCCAUUUAAAGUGGUACGCGAGCUGGGUUUAGAACGUCGUGAGACAGUUCGGUCCCUAUCUGCCGUGGGCGCUGGAGAACUGAGGGGGGCUGCUCCUAGUACGAGAGGACCGGAGUGGACGCAUCACUGGUGUUCGGGUUGUCAUGCCAAUGGCACUGCCCGGUAGCUAAAUGCGGAAGAGAUAAGUGCUGAAAGCAUCUAAGCACGAAACUUGCCCCGAGAUGAGUUCUCCCUGACUCCUUGAGAGUCCUGAAGGAACGUUGAAGACGACGACGUUGAUAGGCCGGGUGUGUAAGCGCAGCGAUGCGUUGAGCUAACCGGUACUAAUGAACCGUGAGGCUUAACCUUACAACGCCGAAGCUGUU
rnacentral:rRNA from 1 species